GGCCUGCUUGGAGGAGGGAUCUCUGCCUGCCCCUCGCUCUUCCUGAACCUGGGAGGGAGGGCUGUUUGCUGAACCCAGACCCACCAGAAAACGUCCUUCUUGUUGAGGAAGAGCACAAUGGACGUGGUGGCGAAGUAGCGGUGGUUGCAGAUGCUGUUGAACAGCACUGUCUCCAGCUUUCCCUGGAAACACUCAGGCCCUGCUUGGCACCCACCACUUCGUCGUCCUCCACCAGCACCAUGUCGUAGGCGCUCAGCGCCGCGAUGAAGAUGAUGCAGGUCACACCCUCGAAGCAAUGGAUCCACUUCUUGCGCUCCGAGCGCUGCCCGCCCACGUCGAACAUCCUGGGGAGCAGUUGGGGCCUGAACCCGCGCUUGGAACGCCAUGGACGCGCCCACAGGCAUCCGCUUGCCCCCUAAUGCUGGCCGGGGGGCACUCGGAUGGGACUGGAGUGUGGGGUGUCUGAGGAGGGGCAGGGUCUCUUUGGGUCAAGGCCUCUAACAGGGUCUGGGGGCGCUGCACUUGCAGCCACAGCCCCUGAGGGAGGGCCAGGGCGCCGGUGUGGGGUUGUACCGGAAGUGGAGGUCCUUGAAGGAGAACUGCGUCUCGAUGAUGCCUGUGGUCUUGACACGGGAGCGCAGCACGUCCUGCUCAGUGGGCACGUAGCCCGGGGUGACCAGGCGCUCCAGGUCCGAGAGGUAGCUGCCGGAGACCGCGGGGUGUGGGUGGGUGUGGUGGAGGGGCAUGGUAGGACCCCGCCCGCACCCCCGCGCCCCGCCUGCGCUCUCACUAGCCCGCCGAGUCGUUGAGCUGGUACUCAGAGGCGC